rnacentral:rRNA from 1 species
UACAGAGGUGGCAAGCGUUGUUCGGAAUUACUGGGCGUAAAGCGCGCGUAGGCGGACCUGCAAGUCGGGGGUGAAAGCCCGAGGCUCAACCUCGGAACUGCCUUCGAUACUGCGGGUCUCGAGUCCGGGAGAGGUGAGUGGAAUUCCUAGUGUAGAGGUGAAAUUCGUAGAUAUUAGGAAGAACACCAGUGGCGAAGGCGGCUCACUGGCCCGGUACUGACGCUGAGGCGCGAAAGCGUGGGGAGCAAACAGG